rnacentral:rRNA from 1 species
GACGAACGCUGGCGGCGUGCUUAACACAUGCAAGUCGAACGGAAAGACCCGGCUCUUGCUCCGUGCGCGUUAGGCGAACACGUGAGAGUAACGCGUGUAUCCUCUCCCUGACUUUCUGGGAUCACCAGGGGAAUCGGGCUCUAAUACCGGAUAAGCUCCUGCAGCGCAUUGUGCGUUGGUGAAAUGCGGUUGUGGUGGAGGGAAUCGCGGCUUCUCAGCUUGUUUGUGAGGUAGUGGCUUACCAAGGCUGCGACGGGUAGCCGGCAUGAGAGGGUGACCGGCCACAAUGGGACUGAGGUACGGCCCAGACUGCUACGGGAGGCAGCAGUGGGGAAUAUUGCACAAUGGGCGGAAGCCUGAUGCAGCAACGCCGCGUGCGUGAUGACGGCCUUCGGGUUGUAAACCACUUUCUCCGGAGAAGAAGCGGGAGUGACGGUAACGGGUAAAAAAGCACCGGCUAACUACGUG